rnacentral:rRNA from 1 species
GACGAACGCUGGCGGCGUGCUUAACACAUGCAAGUCGAGCGGUAAGGCCCUUUCGGGGGGUACACGAGCGGCGAACGGGUGAGUAACACGUGGGUGACCUGCCCUCAGCUCUGGGAUAAGCCUGGGAAACUGGGUCUAAUACUGGAUAUGACUCCACGGUGCAUGUCGUGGGGUGGAAAGCCUUGUGCGGCUGAGGAUGGGCCCGCGGCCUAUCAGCUUGUUGGUGGGGUGAUGGCCUACCAAGGCGACGACGGGUAGCCGGCCUGAGAGGGCGACCGGGCCACACUGGGACUGAGACACGGCCCAGACUCCUACGGGAGGCAGCAGUGGGGAAUCUUGCGCAAUGGGCGAAAGCCUGACGCAGCGACGCCGCGUGAGGGAUGACGGCC